rnacentral:rRNA from 1 species
AUGGCUCGGAGCGGGCUCGGGGUGGUCGCCGUCCUCGUCCUCGCCGCGACGGCGACCCUGUGCUCGGCGCAGAUGACGAUGACGAUGCCCACCUGCGCGCCGGUGCCGCUCAGCCUGUCCCCGUGCAUCGGCUACCUCUUCGGCGCCGGCUCGGCGGCGCUGCCGUCGUGCUGCUCGCAGCUCCAGGCCUUCUUCCAGUCCCAGGGGCCCUGCCUGUGCGCCAUGUCCAAGCUCGCGCCCAGCCCCUUCGGCCUCGUCCUCGGCCAGGUCCAGGGCAUGAUCCCCAACGUGUGCAACCUGCCCACCGACCCGUGCGAUGAUGUCUUUGGGGCGAGCAAUUCGACGGACGACUCCACCCCGCAGCCAACCGCAAAGGCCGCGUCUCCGGAAGCGGCACCUCCGGCAGCCACUCCCGCCGAGCCUGAGCCAGAGCAUGCAGCCACAACGUCGACGACGCCGGAGAGUGCCGGUGCGACUGAAGCUCCCCCGGCAGCAGGUGACGAUUCUCCGGCUGUUGCCACGAAGACAGGACAGGUUGCCCCCCAAGGCGCUGGAUCAAGCACCGAUUCACAGGGGAUAUCAAAGCUCCCAGAACUGCUGCACGCAGCAGGCGCGCCGAGCUCCGCCGCUGCCACCGUGCUCAUCAGUGUGGUUCUUGCCUAUGUUUCGGCCAUGUUUGUGUAA